rnacentral:tRNA from 2 species
CGGGGCGUGGCGGAAUGGCAGACGCGCGUGCCUCAGGAGCACGUGGGCAUCGCCCGUGCGGGUUCGAGUCCCGCCGCCCCGACCA